GCAACGACCCGAAGGGCGAAGCGCGCAGCGCUGAGUCAUCCUUCCCCCACCACCA
rnacentral:sRNA from 13 species